UUUUUUAUUUCUUGAAGGCUUUGGAGUGAGGCCAACAUCACAAAUUUUAACUUUUUAUCUUUGUUCUGUUCGGCUGUUAGCAAAAUUGCAAAUCCCUAGACCUGAUGAUUAAUGUGAUGGGGUGGGAAAGAGUAUAAAUGAUAGUAAGAGAGAGGUGGCCUUGUAAGACUCAUAUGAUUAGCAACUAUGUUAAGGUUUGCUGUGUUUUAUUUGUUGUUGUUUUAUUUAAAUACACUGUGACGAAUUCAACCGCAGAAUUUUUAACAUCAAAACUGAAUAGGAUUUGAUACAUGAGUGUUGCAGUCAGACAAAAUCUCCAAUCCAGACUCCAUCAUGCUAUGUGACUUUGGGCAGGUUACAUAACUGCUGUGAGCCUCAGUUGCUCUACUGUUUAAAAAAAAAAAAAAGUAUUGAGACUGAAUCAAUGGAUAAAAGCUACCAUAUACUGUAAUAUUCUAAUAUGUAUAAAACAUGUGGCACAUAGGAAGUGCUCAGUAAAUGUCAAUUCUCCUUGCCUUCUAUUAGGAUGCCAUGUGUGCACAUGUGUUGGUGUGGUGUGUGUAUAUUUUACAGUAGAUGAAAUUUGGAAAUUCCUCCCUGCCUGUAUGGUGUGCUCAAUGGACCUAGCCUCGUCAUUUUGGAUGGAGAGAGGUGCAGACCAAUGUGAUCACAAUACAAGUCAUUUGGUCCUAGUUUGUAAAUAAAGUCUGCAAGGUUCAGCCAUUGAAAGAAAGAAACUACGUGGUGUCAUGUAGAAAGUGCAAGCAGAUCAGUAGAGAUCAGGUUUUCAGUGGAUUGGAUGACGCCCAUCCACAGUGGGGAGGGAAAACUGUUUUACCCCGUCUGCUGAUUCAAAUAUUAAUCUCAUCUACAAACACCUCGAAGAUACUCCCAGAAUAAUGUUUAACCAAAUAUCUGGGUCCACCAUGACCCAGUCAAGUUGACACAUGAAUUAACCAUCACAGGACAAUUUUCUGCCUCCAAAUCAUCCUGAAGUUUGGAACGUUUUUCACAGAACUGGUUUGUGCUCUUUUUUGAGUUCUCUGUUCAAAUGUCAACACCUCAUACUGACCUUUCCAAACUGCACUGACUCAGAAGGCCUCCCCCAGAGUUACCACAUUCUCUCAUAUCUUACUGAGUUUCAUUUAUAACAGUUAUCCCAAUAUGUAAUUAUCUUGUUUAUUUACAGCUUACUUGUUUUUAAUGUCUGUCUCUUCUAUUACAACAUAUUAGGGUGGAAAAUUUGUAUGCCUUGUACUUUAUUAGAAUCCACCAAAAAUAUACUUGCAGUAAAUAAAUAUUAUUUCU